GCGCUUGCUUCGGCAGCAUGCACACUAAAAUUGGAACAACACAGGAUUAGCAUGGCCCCUGUGCAAGGAUAACAGGCCAUUCGUGAAGCCCUCCAUGCUACU
ensembl:snRNA U6 U6 spliceosomal RNA